rnacentral:tRNA from 2 species
AAAAUACUAGUAAAACCAUUACAUAACUUUGUCAAAGUUAAUUUACAGGUUAAACCCCUGUGUAUUUUU